CGCUUCGCUCGUGUGCAGUGAAAUCCUUUUGUGCCGGGGUUCGGCACAUAGAUUGGAACAUAUAGCGUGAAGGCCU
rnacentral:misc_RNA from 1 species